GAUGAACGCUAGCGGCAGGCUUAAUACAUGCAAGUCGAGGGACAGCACAGGUAGCAAUACUGGGUGGUAACCGGCAAACGGGUGCGGAACACGUACACAACCUUCCUUUAAGUGGGGGAUAGCCCAGAGAAAUUUGGAUUAAUACCCCGUAAUAUAGUUGAAUGGCAUCAUUUGAUUAUUAUAGCUACGGCGCUUAAUGAUGGGUGUGCGGCUGAUUAGAUAGUUGGCGGGGUAACGGCCCACCAAGACUACGAUCAGUAGCUGAUGUGAGGGCAUGAUCAGCCACACGAGCAAUGAGACACGGGCACGACGCCUACGGGAGGCAGCAGUAAGGAAUAUUGAUCAAUGGACGCAAGUCUGAACCAGCCAUGCCGCGUGAAGGAUUAAGGUCCUCUGGAUUGUAAACUUCUUUUAUUUGGGACGAAAAAGGGCCUUUCUAGGUCAACUGACGGUACCAGAUGAAUAAGCACCGGCUAACUCCGUGCCAGCAGCCGCCGUAAAAC
rnacentral:rRNA from 1 species